rnacentral:rRNA from 1 species
UACGGAGGGGGCUAGCGUUGUUCGGAAUUACUGGGCGUAAAGCGCACGUAGGCGGACUGUUAAGUCGGGGGUGAAAUUCUGGGGCUCAACCUCAGAAUUGCCUCCGAUACUGGCAGUCUCGAGUGCGGGAGAGGUGAGUGGAAUUCCCAGUGUAGAGGUGAAAUUCGUAGAUAUUGGGAAGAACACCAGUGGCGAAGGCGGCUCACUGGCCCGUAACUGACGCUGAGGUGCGAAAGCGUGGGGAGCAAACAGG